UUUUAAUUACAAAUUAUGUCUCCUCACUCAUGCUACCUACUCUAGAUGCUAGAACAUCUCUCUCCUUUUCAUAACUUCUCAAUCAAGUGCCAAAGUGUAUUUUUCCCAUAGAUCAAUUAUUCUCUUCAAGAUUUCAGUUUAAUGACCCAAGUGGUUAAGAAUUGGGAGAAACCUCAAAACCAAAAUAAAACCCCAAACAAUAAUUUUCUCUCUCCUGUGAUUUUAUACCCCGUACUGUGCAUGCUCAAUUUCUGCAUUUUGGAGUUGGAAUUUGACCAAACUUAUUGAAUCAAAGUUGUAGAUCUCAAAAAGUUAUUGAACUUAGACCCAAAAAUCACUUGAUUUGGAGUUCGGAGCUAUGAGUUAUGGUCUUUGCAAAUUUGGUGUUGCUACCUCCAUUUCUCUCUCCUCUGUUUUAUUCCGACAAUCUGUUGCCCCAAUUAUCUACAACAUGCAAUCCAAUUUUGCUCUUUGUUUCUGAAUUAAAGUUGUAGAUCACCUCGAGCUAAUGAAUUUGGGCACAAAAAUCAUUUGAUUUGGAGUUCGGAGCUAUGAGUUAUGGUCUUUGUAAGUCUGGUGUUCCUAUCUUCUUUUCUCUCUCCUCUCUUUUUAUUCCGACAAUCUGUUUCCUCAACUAUCUAUAACAUGCAAUCCAAUCUUGCUCUUUGUUUCUGAAUCAAAGUUGUAGAUCACCUCGAGCUAAUGAAUUUGGGCACAAAAAUCGCUCAAUUCAGAGUUCGGAACUAGGAGUUACGCCUCACACAAGUUCAGCACUGCUGCUGUACCUUGUGUUGCGCUGCUGUCGUGAUUGGCUUGUUUGCCCAUGUUGUCAUUGCUAACUUGUUGCCUUGUUGCUGCCACUGUUGGUAUUCCUUUCCAUAUGAAGGUCGUUGUUGGAGUAUGUAUAUGGAGAUAAAUUAUGGAGUUCAAGCUAUAGUGGUCAUCCAGAAUGUCGAGUUAUUGGGAAUUGUUUCAAGGUCGUUGUUGGAGUAUGUAUAUGGAGAUAAAUUAUGGAGUUCAAGCUAUAGUGGUCAUCCAGAAUGUCGAGUUAUUGGGAAUUGUUUCAAGGGUUCAUUGUUAGUGAUUUGCAGGGUUGAUGUCGAGGUCGUGGAAUAUGAUUAUUGAUCAAGAAGAAGAGUUUUAUGUUAUGAAAUGGUGGGCUGAGGUUAAAGUUAGAUGUUUUGUUUCAAAGUAUUCGUAAUCUGUUAUUUGAUUUUCAAGUUGUUAUAUUGUGGGCCCCUGACCCACAGAUCCAGGAUCGUUUUUAUAGGUUUUGUUUCCACUGUAAAUAAAUGCAAAUUCAAGAUUUAUUAAGUGUUGAUUGUGUUUUGUGUAUCUUAAGUGUGAUUAGUUAGCAGCUCGGAAGUGCGGGCUGUUACAGGUGUGAAUAAAUGUAAAUUCGAGGUUUGUUAAGUGUUGAUUGUGUUUUGUGUA